GUGAAUCAUCAAAUCUUUGAACGCAAAUUGCACUCCCUGGUAUUCCGGGGAGUAUGCCUGUUUGAGGGUCGUUAGAAUAAAAAAUCGAGGCGUCGCUCUUUUUUUUAAGGGUGAUCGCGUCGGAAUGUAGCCUUCUUUCAAGUUUUAAGUCAUGACAAAGUGGCUUAAAAUUCAUCCACCCGUUUAGAUUAAAGCGUAUUUAAUUGCAACUUUGAUUAAUAACGC
rnacentral:misc_RNA from 1 species